GUGUGUGUGUGUUUUUUCUACUUACGCCGAUAAUCUUAUAUAAUAAAGUUGAGUUUUUUUCUCCUUGGGAAAAAAGGGAAAAAAUGACACCUGGCAUCUCUGGUUUUGGUUUGGGCCAUGCGGUUUUCUUUUAAUUGUUUCCGUUGGGCUUUUGACAUUCGAGGCCCAGUGAUAAGCAUAUCUUUCAUCGUCACUUUGCUUUAGAGGAAGACCUACGAACUCCAGAAUCUUUAAACAGGGAACGCCUUUACGAUUUCUUUUCCGUAACGGCUCAUUGAUUCCCAAUUUGUUCACAGCUUCUGCGUAAUUAACUCACUCCUCCACUCUUCAGCAUUCAAUCAACCUAAUCAGAUCCCCAAAGUUUGAAUGAGAAAGGAAACACAGACAGUUUUGUGAGAUGGCAUCCAAGUUGCUGCAGAUUAAGUCAAAGGCCUGAGAAGGAUCAAAGUUUGUGUCGAAGCACGGCACUAUUUACUACAAACAGUUUCUGGAGAGGAACAUGCCAAGAGUUGUCUAAGCAGCUUCCCUACACUCGUCUUGCUAGGUCCUUUUUCUUAACUCUCUUAUCUGAUUCUAUGUGUUUGUUAGAUGUUUGAUUGCGUCGCGUACGUAAGCAUUUUUUUAAUAGCUUUCUUCUUGCAGUAAGGAUUAAAGCUUUUUUGUUUCUGUAUGUUGUUUUUAGUAAACGGUAAAUGUGGUCUCCUUAUCUAUGUAGAAAUGUGUUUUUGACGUGGCGUUUAGGAACCUGUGAGGUUGGCAAAUAAAUCUCCAAAGAUCACAGAGAGUAGAGUUAGCAUCAGUUCAGACAUCAGCUUAGACAUGUGCUCAAGUUUUAUGUUUCCUCAAAUCAUCAAUUCUUCACCAUUUCCAGGAUAUUUGACCGGAACCAGCGUCCACCAAUGCUAAACUUUGCUAAUUAAAGAUGGGGUGAUAACAACGCACAAGAUGACAUGCCUGGAGCAGGAGAAGUGACUACUAAGCCUCACAAAACUGUGAACAAAGUUCCCCCUGCAACAACCGCUGGCUUCGCUGCUUGUGGAGAUACAAAGGGAAAUGCAACUGUUGUUUGUGGAGUAACUAAUGAAGAAUCAAAGUUGCAGGGGGGAUAGAGGAAAAAGCCACGUACUUCUUAGCUUUCUAGCUAGCGAGUGGCCAAGUCUAUAGGAUUUUAUCUUCUUUAACGAUUGAAAUAAUUGUUUAAGGUUUCAUUUUUUCCUUGAAUCUGUUCGUUGCUGGUUUUUUACAUUUUGUCGUGGCUUGCUCACUACAUUUCCUGUUGGGUCAAUUCAUUUGAAAGUAAACUCAGAAUUUGAUAGUUGUCUACUUGUCUGCAUGUAUUUUUAAUUUGUUAUAUACGAACUCAACCUCACCUGCAACCAGGUUGACAACAGGUGGAUACAGUUAACCAUCGAGAGUCCAACAAUAUUUCUAAUACUUAUAAUCGAAGAAACCAAAUAAACUUUAUAUUUAAUUUACAUUAAUUGAUUAACUAAGUUCCCGUUUUAGACCUAUAAUGAAAUACUUGCUAUUAUAUAGUACAGACAUGUAGGACAUAAAUAAGAAAAUGGUCUCUAUUCAUUUUAUGACUAAACCAAAAAAACAAGCUCGAAAAAGUUAAAAAUUACUAUCCCUUGAAUCCGAAUACAACAACAUAAAGCAAUGUCAAGUCCAUGGCCGGCUUCAACAUUUGAUAGACCUCGGGGCAAAAAAAAAAAUUAAAAGGCCCUCGAACAUAUAAAAACAUGAAACUUACAAAAUUAUUACUACGAUUAGAUACUAAAUAGGAAUGUUUACCACAAGCAAACACAUAUAAUAAUUUGCAACUUCUGUGUAUUAAUGUAACCAACGGAUUUUUAUUAUCUAUAUAGUAGGUUCAUGAUUUUAAUUUUCAUUUUCAUUUUCUUUGAUCACAAAUUUAUUCAUAGAAUUUUUAUGUGAUUUUAUAAACAAUUCUGCUUAUUUUUCUUCUUGAUGUUUUGAUAAGUAAU